rnacentral:rRNA from 1 species
AGCGAACGCUGGCGGCAGGCCUAACACAUGCAAGUCGAACGAAGUCUUCGGACUUAGUGGCGGACGGGUGAGUAACACGUGGGAACGUACCUUUUGGUUCGGAACAACUCAGGGAAACUCGAGCUAAUACCGGAUGAGCCCUUAGGGGGAAAGAUUUAUCGCCGAAAGAGCGGCCCGCGUUAGAUUAGCUAGUUGGUGAGGUAAAGGCUCACCAAGGCUACGAUCUAUAGCUGGUCUGAGAGGAUGAUCAGCCACACUGGGGCUGAGACACGGCCCAGACUCCUACGGGAGGCAGCAGUGGGGCAUCUUGCGCGAUGGGCGAAAGCCUGACGCAGCCAUGCCGCGUGAAUGAUGAAGGUCUUAGGAUUGUAAAAUUCUUUUACCAGGGACGAUAAUGACGGUACCUGGAGAAAAAGCCCCGGCUAACUUCGUGCCAGCCGCCGCAGUAACAC